rnacentral:lncRNA from 1 species
UUGAAAUGUACUAAGAAAAGCCUAAGUUAAUAAACUGAGUUAAUGAAUGGCAUCUUUUCAGGUCCUCCUGGUCUCAUUGGUCACCCUGGACAGGAAGGUCCUCGAGGACCCAAAGGAAGUGCAGGUGAAUCAGGAAAUGACGGUUUACCUGGGCUGAGGGGUCGAGAGGGGCCAGUGGGUCACAGAGGAGAACCAGGACCCCCAGGAAUUGGAGAGAAAGGAGAGAAAGGUUCUUUUGGCGAUGUUGGUGCACCUGGGCUAGCAGGACCACCAGGCCCUGUGGGACCCAAAGGUAAGACCAUCUGCGCCCAGACAAAGA